rnacentral:tRNA from 1 species
GCCAAGAAGGUUGGCGCGGAAGGGGACUUAAAAUCCGCAGACCCUUAUCAGGUCGUGGGGGUUCAAGUCCCCCUCCGGGCACCA